UUUGGGUUUCUGAAUGAGCAGAGAACUUAGAGAGUGUUCUGCUGCCAUGUUUCCCAGUUACUUCUCUGUUCUUUCAUUUACUUGUUCCCUCCACAACUCACCAUAGACAGUCACGCAGCAAACAUUUAGUAUACCAUGAGUGGAACUGAACCAAAUUACCCCUGACCUAGAAAUCAAGCCCAUUGCUGUUCCUAGAAGGAAGAGACCAUUAGGGAAGCCUGAGCCUGGGUUGAUCUCUACAUGAUACUGAGAAGCUAGGGGCUGGAGAAAUGGCUCAGUGACCAAGUGCUUGCUGUGCAAGAGUGAGGACCUAGGCCGGGAUUCCCAGCAUGCAUGAAAAGGCUGGGUGCAGUGGCACACACCUGUAACCCCAGUGCUAGGACAUGGGGACCAGCAGAUCCCGGGGACUCCUUGACCAGUCAGUCUAGCCAAAAUGACAUUCUUCAGGUUUCGUGAGAGACCCUACCUCCCAACGUGAGACAGAGCUUCGUCUGUUGAAGGUAGUUGAGGUCAACCUCCAGCCCCCAUGUGUGCAUGCAUAGGUGAGCACACUUGCAUCUGCACACAUGCAUGUACACACUACAUGCAUGCACAUACAAAAGAAGUCAUCACUGAAUUGAUAGCAAUUGCCAAGACCUACCAUUGUAGGUAUGUGGGUUUUUCUUUUUUUUAAUCAUCUGUUUGGAGAUAAAGGCAAACAUAGUUGCACAUAAAAUAAUACUGUGUCUGGGGCCGUUUUAAAAUAACAGAACAGUGAAAUGGAAGUGAGCAGGGUGAAGUUCUGAUGAAAUUCUAAGGUGAUUGGUGGGCCCCCAGGGGUCCUGGCACCACCUUCUCCUCUUUGUAUGUUUGACCUUUCACAGUAUCAAGUGCAAGAUAACAUGUAGCCUAAGUUUCCCAAGGACCCAUGUGACUUUCUUCACUCCCUCCUUAGAAGUCCCUUGGUCCGGGGUACCCUGGAUAUGGAGAUGACUGCUUAGGUACAGAGGCCUCAGGCCAAGGCAGCUCACACUGAGCAACAGUGGCACCCCAGCUGGCACAAGCACUGUUGCUCCUCGUGCCUUCUCAUCCCAGUAUCCAUCCAUCUGCUCACUGGUUCCAUUUCUUCCUCCAAAAUCUCUCUCAGAUUCACCGUCCUUAACUUCAUCUUCUCUCCUCAGCAUUUGUCUAAGAUGCCAUCCUUUCCCCCAACCCAGUGGCCAUCCAGGCCACCUCCUCUCCCCCUCAGUUUCUCACACUCCUUUUCUUCUCAAGUCCACACCAGAUCCUCAGAAGUUGAGAGCAUCAGAUGGAUGCUUGGUGCUCAGAACUGGUGAUUUAAACACACCAGGUCCCCGCCCUUGGCCUUCCAAGCAGGGACACCAAAACCAAAUGCAUGGAUAGCCCUGCUAGACAUUGUGAUUAUGGACAAUACUGUGAUGUGCCAUCCAGGUGGUGGUGACAGGCCCUAACCAUCCUGGUGGCUGUAGAUGCCAGCGCCUGUGAAAGCCAUGUCUCUGUCGCCAAACCCAGUCCUUUGUAGAGAUGACAAUUGUGACCUGGGGUGGAGGCAGCUUGGUUCCUCUCAAGUUCCAGAGCUAAGGGCUACAGCUAGGCAGCUAGACUGCAAAAAGAAUGUCAGCCUACUCCUUCCAGAGAAAUCCCUGACUGAUCAGUUCCCCUGGCAGGGGACAGGGCAGAACUAGAAAGGACCCAAGAGGCAAGCCUGCUUCUCCUAGGCCCCUAGUCCCAGCCCAUGCCUAGGUAAGUGGAAAAGCAUUUCUGUUUAAUACUUCAGUCUCCACCCACUGCUUAAUGAAGAAAAGGGCUUUUCUGGGCCCCCUCCCCAGCCCCUUAGCCACCACACACAGCUUGAGCAGGCCCCACAGGGCCUUGAAAACCCAGCAAUUUGAUUUUCCCAGGCCCCUCCUAUCCCAAGUAGGGCCCAGAAGGCAGCUCCUCAGUCACGAAUCAGCCUGUGCGGCCAGCUCCAAACCUGGGCCUCUUGCCAGGGGUGUUAGAAGGGAAAAGCUGGGUUUCUAUGCUGUUCCCUGUGCCUCUGGCUCAGGCCUCACUGCCCUUGCCAAUGAGUCUUCCUCACCUCCAAGUCAACCCUGCAUCUCAUGGUCCAGCUCUGGGCCUGCCUGCCUUCACUGAGCAGCCUCAGAAAGAUGAUUAGAUGAACCCCAAGUUCUGCUGAUAGGGUACAGAAGCUGGCUGAUGAGAGGACAGACUAGCCAGAGUCAGGGUGGAAAGCUGUUGGGGACAUGAGUAGGCAGCAGGGGCCACUUCUGAAAUGCUCCUGACAUCCAGCACCCUGGGAGUCUGCCCCUACAGUCAGUCAACAAUAUGGAUGUGCCUGCUGCAGCUGAGGUUGAGAAUCCCCGCCAAGGAUGGAACCGCCCUGCCUGGUUUCCUCCCAGGCUGUCCUGGAGACCACCCAAGUGGACUCUAUCUGCUUGAGUUAAGCUAAACUCACUGUCUCCAAGCUGUACAGGUCUUCCUCUCUGGACUACUAAGCCCCAACAGCUGACCAUGGCAUGCAUCAGGGCCACAGGGAUUGAGGUGUAAGAAUGGAUUGGGGCAGAAGAUACUGAAGUGGCUCCCACCUGGACUGGUUCCUGAGAACACUGGCUUUGCCUGAACCAAAGGCAAGAGGACUGUUGCCUAGCGCUGCUCUGGCCCACUCUGACCUUGGUGUCUGCUUGGCUCUUCUUUCCAUUGCUCCCGUGUUGCUCCUCUCAUCAGCACUAAGAGUUCCACUCAAGCUGGCCCCGUGCCUUCCCCUCUGCCUGCUUCCCAGUCUGCAUCCUACCUACCAUUCUACCUAGGUCCUAUCCAGAUCCCUAGCUCUCUUGCACUCCAUCCUUUGCACGAGUAUAAAUUUUUCUGGAAUAUGCAUCCUUUUGCCCCAGGUCUGAGUUCCUGAUCUGUUGUGGACAGGGCCCUGGGACCAGAUUCUAGUACCAGUUGGAUGACCUCCAACAACUGAAGCCUUAUUAAAGAGGAAUAUUAAGGCCAAUUAAUGGGCUGUUUGGUAAAGAUUGGAUAAUAUGUGAGUGGCUGUCACAUUGGGAUAUUUGGUAAACAUAGUGAUCAUGCAAUGAUGUGACCAGGGCAGUGUCCACUGUCCCGUCAGUGUCUCUGCAAGGAUGCAGCUCUUUGAGGACUGGAUCAACCUUUCUGUCUUCUAUCCAGUCCUGUACUCUUCUAGUGCCCAGUGUGACCUGCCCAGGAAGAGGCCCAGUGAGAAACUGGUUCACAUGGAAGGAGAAGGGUCCCACUGGGAGGGCCCAAGAGCAAUCUCUUACUCAGCUCUGGACAGAUCAGAUGUGAGGUGAUCAUGAGGUCAACUUCUAGGCAGGGCAGGCUAAUGGCUGACUGCUCACAAAGUCCCAAGUUGACCUGUGUAGAAUUCCAGAUCAUAUUUACCAUGGCAUAGGAAGAGCGGCAAGAAUAAGAAGCUGGGCAACUCAUGCUGCUAAUGUCUCUGUUACCUCCUUUCCAUGACCUCCUGAGAUGGAACCCUGUGAAGAAGGCAUUCACCAUGCACAAAUGAGCAGCAGGAAGCUGGUAACUCCCUGGCCAGGGCUUCCAACUCUACAUACAAAGCUUAUUUGGAAGCAGGCUGGCAAUGUCUGCUUGAGUCCUGUGUGACUGGCCCCCUCUAUGAGCACCAGCUCUCGUCUGCUACCUGUCCCCUAGAGAAGCCUGCUGCCCUUGGCAAGUCUGGGCCUUUUAAUCCUUCACUCUGCCUCAUGGCUCUCUUCCCAGACCUUGGUCAUGAUGCUUAGAAUGUCUUCCCCAGCAGCCUGGAGCUUUCUGUCAUUAGUCUUCAAGGCCUGCUGUUUCCCACAGAACACAUUGGCAGCUUUCUCCAGACAGAUAAGCAGUGAUGUCUCCCCCUGGUCAGAGUGUCAGUGACUCUCAACAGCCAUGGCAAACAGAAGACGCUUGGGCCUUUCGGGACCCAGGCCCCCACUUCCAGGCCUUGCCCUCCCUCUCCAAUCCUGGAGACACAGCCCAACAUCUUCAGGAGCCCCACUCCUCCACAAGGGCUUGUCUGACUAUGGGAUUGCAGUGGCGGUGUGUUCUCAGAUGCUGUGCGUUCUCGUGCUAGGAAAACAGCCUUGGGAACCAGAUGGGUAGUCACCUGCUCUGGGGACUUGACUGCGCACAUAUCUUGAGGAGGACUUCUAUUUGACCUGGCACAGCACUCACUCAUCAGUCAACCAUGGUUUAGAAGCUCACUCUACUCAACUGCUGAGAGUUCUUGCUUAGGAGGAGCUGAAAUGACUCUAACACAACAGGAACCUCCUGGCCUUUAGAACAUGUGUGUCGUGGUCACCCUCAAGAAUGAGACUCAAGAGUCUAGGGGUAAGAGAUUCCUUAUGAACAAUUUGGGGUGAGCUACAGCCUCCUCUUAUGGCUGAGAUUUCUCCAACCUCUGCCUGCUUCUAAAUUCCUUUGGAGAGAAGAAAGGGGAAGAAGGAACUGUUCCAGUGGUCCUUGUCCCCAGGGAUCCAGACCUCCACCCAAGCCAGCAAUGCUGCCUGCCCGCUCUCCUUCCUCAGACUACAGCCUCUGGGGUCUAAGCUCUCUGGAAGCUUUUAAAAGGCAACACUGAAGGACCUCACCUACAUCCUGC
ensembl:lncRNA